UACGUAGGGUGCAGGCGUUAAUCGGAAUUACUGGGCGUAAAGCGUGCGCAGGCGGUUUGCUAAGACAGGUGUGAAAUCCCCGGGCUUAACCUGGGAACUGCGCUUGUUACUGGCAGGCUUGAGUGUGGCAGGAGGGGGGUGGAAUUCCGACGUGUAGCGUGAAAUGCGUAGAGAUGUGGAGGAACACCGAUGGCGAAGGCAGCCCCCCUGGGCUAACACUGACGCUCAUGCACGAAAGCGUGGGGAGCAAACAGG
rnacentral:rRNA from 1 species